rnacentral:rRNA from 1 species
CUGGCGGCAGGCCUAACACAUGCAAGUCGAGCGCUCUCUUCGGAGGGAGCGGCGGACGGGUGAGUAACGCGUGGGAACGUGCCCUUCUCUAUGGAAUAGCCACUGGAAACGGUGAGUAAUACCAUAUACGCCCUUCGGGGGAAAGAUUUAUCGGAGAAGGAUCGGCCCGCGUUAGAUUAGGUAGUUGGUGGGGUAAUGGCCUACCAAGCCUACGAUCUAUAGCUGGUUUUAGAGGAUGAUCAGCCACACUGGGACUGAGACACGGCCCAGACUCCUACGGGAGGCAGCAGUGGGGAAUCUUAGACAAUGGGCGCAAGCCUGAUCUAGCCAUGCCGCGUGAGUGAUGAAGGCCUUAGGGUCGUAAAGCUCUUUCGCCAGAGAUGAUAAUGACAGUAUCUGGUAAAGAAACCCCGGCUAACUCCGUGCCAGCAGCCGCGGUAAUACGGAGGGGGUUAGCGUUGUUCGGAAUUACUGGGCGUAAAGCGCACGUAGGCGGAUUAGAAAGUUGGGGGUGAAAUCCCGGGGCUCAACCUCGGAACGGCCUCCAAAACUCCUAGUCUAGAGUUCGAGAGAGGUGAGUGGAAUUCCAAGUGUAGAGGUGAAAUUCGUAGAUAUUUGGAGGAACACCAGUGGCGAAGGCGGCUCACUGGCUCGAUACUGACGCUGAGGUGCGAAAGUGUGGGGAGCAAACAGGAUUAGAUACCCUGGUAGUCCACACCGUA